GGUUGUGGCUCAGGGGUACAGCACUUGCCUAGCAUGUGUGAAGCACUGGGUUCAAUCCCCGGCACCA
rnacentral:tRNA from 1 species